rnacentral:rRNA from 1 species
CUACGGGUGGCUCCAGUGGGGAAUAUUGGACAAUGGGGGAAACCCUGAUCCAGCAAUGCCGCGUGUGUGAAGAAGGCCUGCGGGUUGUAAAGCACUCUCGGUUGGGAGGACUGCUUCUAGCACUAAUAUUGUUGGAAGUUGACGUUACCUUCAGAAGAAGCACCGGCUAACUCCGUGCCAGGCAGCCGCGGUAAUACGGAGGGUGCAUGCGUUAAUCGGAAUUACUGGGCGUAAAGCGCGCGUAGGCGGCUAGAUCAGUCGGGUGUGAAAGCCCCGGGCUUAACCUGGGAACUGCAUCCGAUACUGUCUAGCUUGAGUACAGGAGAGGAGAGUGGGAUUCCACAUGUAGCGGUGAAAUGCGUAGAUAUGUGGAGGAACACCAAUGGCGAAGGCAGCUCUCUGGCCUGAUACUGACGCUGAGGUGCGAAAGCGUGGGGAGCAAACAGGAUUAGAUACCCGCGUAGUC